AUUCAUUUGUUUAAGAAGCAUUCAUUGAACCUUUACUGUCUACCAGGCACUACUCUGUGUGCUGUGUAACUGGUAGCCAGGCACACUGCAUCAACACAGAGUAGCAGGAACCCAGGGGAGAUAAGGCUCGCAGGAAGACACUAGAAUCCUAAGAGAGGCCCCGAGGAUCCUAAGCUACACACUUGGAUUCAUCAUGGUACUGGGGCUUGAUUCCCCAGCUUUCCAAGAGGAUGUUUAAAAUGAAAUGCUCCAGAAGUGUCACUUAGAAGCUGACCAGUGGAAUUCCAAUCCUGACAGUGAUGGUUUCCCAGGGAUGGCCAGGGACCGUCACUUUCUUCUUCUUAUUGCUGCUGUUGCCUUUGACCCCUUCUUCCUCCCUGCGUUUUCCCUACCUCCAUUUGCUCAGUAAAAAGUUUAUGUCAAAACACCAUGGAAGUC